AAAGUCGUAACAAGGUUUCCGUAGGUGAACCUGCGGAAGGAUCAUUAACACGUUUCACAACGUAUCAACCAAACCGCGAACUAUGAACGUCUUUUUUAUUCAUGUUUUGGGAGGGCUGUUGGCCGGGACGGACAUGGCUGUCAUGGCUAUGUUGAACAGAAAGUGGUGCGCAAGCGCUACCUCUCUGUGUACGAACCAGCCACUCCCCUUCUAUGAACAUGUCUUAUUUAACCCAAACCCAUUUGUUUAUUCAUUUAUUCUUAAAGAUACGCCCUUGUGGUGAGUCUUUAAUACAAACUUGUACAACUCUUAGCAACGGAUAUCUUGGUUUCC
rnacentral:misc_RNA from 1 species